UGGGGAAUAUUGCACAAUGGGCGCAAGCCUGAUGCAGCCAUGCCGCGUGUAUGAAGAAGGCCUUCGGGUUGUAAAUGUACUUCAGGCGGGGGAGAAGGGCGUUGCUGGGUUAAUAACCACCAGCGAUGGACUGUUACCCGCAGAAGAAGCACCGGGCUAACUCCGUUGGCCAGCAGCCGCGGUAAUACGGAGGGUGCAAGCGUUAAUCGGAAUUACUGGGCGUAAGCGCACGCAGGCGGUCUGUCAAGUCGGAUGUGAAGUCCCCGGGCUCACUGGGAACUGCAUUCGAAACUGGCAGGCUAGAGUCUUGUAGAGGGGGUAGAAUUCCAGGUGUAGCGGUGAAAUUGCGUAGAGAUCUGGAGGAAUACCGGUGGCGAAGGCGGCCCCCUGGACAAAGACUGACGCUCAGGUGCGAAAGCGUGGGGAGCAAACA
rnacentral:rRNA from 1 species